GCAAGGCUGGGGGGCAUUGGCUGGAUGGAUGGCAGGGUAAGAUUCGCGCCACUCUGAAUUCCGCUCUGUUGGCUUUUGUUGACUAAUACUUUGUUUCUGUGAUGUACACACCGUUCUCUGCCAAGUUCAGGUGACAGAAAAAUGGUCAAUAAAGUGAAUUGCAUUGUCUGUUGAAGAACAGAGCCUGUCAGUAAGUCUGCCUGUACUGUGAGUUUGGCCAGUGAGAUGACUCUCCUUAUGGAUGCCUCAGGGCACCCAAUCUGUCCUUGACGCCCUUUGGAGCACUGAAGAUCUCCUGCUGGAGAGAAUCCCUCCUGGAACAAGCUGCCCCAAGCCCAAGGGCACCCAGGCACACACCGCCAGGCUGAGAUGUAAGAAUCAAUUCUCCUGAGAGUUGGUUGGAGCCAGGAACAACAGAAAUGAUGGUGAUGGUCUGGCUAUGCUGCACGGUUGCCAAGGAGCCAGCUCGGGCAUUUGCUGCAACGUCUGUGGGAUACAGAGGUCACCGGGACAAGAGACACUCCAAAAAGCCAUGGCAAGGAAGAAAAGGUAAAUCAUAGAAUCAUUAAGGUUGGAAAGACCAAUAAUAUCAUUUAGUCCGGCCAUCAUCCCAUACGUGUGACUGCUCUAGACCAUGUCACUCAGUGCCACAUCUCCAUGUUUCUUGAACAUCUCCAGGGAUGGUGACUCCACCACCUCCCUG